ACGGGUGAGUAAUGUCUGGGGAUCUGCCCGAUAGAGGGGGAUAACCACUGGAAACGGUGGCUAAUACCGCAUAACGUCGCAAGACCAAAGAGGGGGACCUUCGGGCCUCUCACUAUCGGAUGAACCCAGAUGGGAUUAGCUAGUAGGCGGGGUAAUGGCCCACCUAGGCGACGAUCCCUAGCUGGUCUGAGAGGAUGACCAGCCACACUGGAACUGAGACACGGUCCAGACUCCUACGGGAGGCAGCAGUGGGGAAUAUUGCACAAUGGGCGCAAGCCUGAUGCAGCCAUGCCGCGUGUAUGAAGAAGGCCUUCGGGUUGUAAAGUACUUUCAGCGGGGAGGAAGGCGAUGGGGUUAAUAACCCUGUCGAUUGACGUUACCCGCAGAAGAAGCACCGGCUAACUCCGUGCCAGCAGCCGCGGUAAUACGGAGGGUGCAAGCGUUAAUCGGAAUUACUGGGCGUAAAGCGCACGCAGGCGGUCUGUUAAGUCAGAUGUGAAAUCCCCGGGCUUAACCUGGGAACUGCAUUUGAAACUGGCAGGCUUGAGUCUUGUAGAGGGGGGUAGAAUUCCAGGUGUA
rnacentral:rRNA from 1 species